ACGCUCGACACCUACGGGAGGCGGCAGUCGGGAAUAUUGCGCAAUGGAGGAAACUCUGACGCAGUGACGCCGCGUAUAGGAAGAAGGUUUUCGGAUUGUAAACUAUUGUCGUUAGGGAAGAGAAAGGACAGUACCUAAGGAGGAAGCUCCGGCUAACUACGUGCCAGCAGCCACGGUAAUCUGAGCGGGCUGGCAAGGC
rnacentral:rRNA from 1 species